CUCUACCUGUGCUCUAGUGCUGGGGGUUUAGACUGUGUUUGUGGGGACAUGGGGUAUGGCAUGGAGCCUACCCCCUGGUCCAACUGUGUCCCCCCUCGCCACUGCUGCCCCCUCCACCACCCCCACAGGCCUCUUAUCAUCUGCCUCAAUUCCUGCCUCUGGGACUCAGCUGCUCACCUGGUCUGCCACGCCCUAUUGCCACUGUUUGGGCCUGCAGCAGCAGCCAGCCAAACAUUUGACUUUGCACAAGUGCUUUUGAGUGCACGCACUCCCCCUCCCCUGGACUGACCCCUUCCCCUCUGCAACAGGCCCCCUAGCUUUGCCCCUUGUUGCCUGCCCUAUUUGCCCCUCAUAGCCUCCCGCCGCCCAGCUUCAAUCUGUUUGCCCUGCCUGUCUGCCUUUGUAGCUUGGUUUGUCCCGCCCCAGCCCUGAAGCUAGCCCCUUGGUCCCUCUGCCCUACUCCUAGCAUGGUUGCUCCCCUCCCUCUAUGAUCCUCUCACCUUGAUUAGUCCCUCCCCUUGUGCGCCCAUGCCCACUUCGGUGCGCUCGUGCCCCUGCCCUGUUUGAGUUUGUCCCAUUGCACUGCACCCUCCAUUGCUGUUGUUCCCCUCCCCUCCUCUAGUGCAGCUAGAGGAGCCGAGUUCUAUCCUGUGUCGGUGACUGACCUCCCCCAAAGUCCUCGAUAGUCCUGUUAUCUGUCCCCUCUCCCCCAUUUUGGGACCCUCCUCCCCUGCCUGCAGCCUAGCGGGGAGGAGUGGUUGACCUGCUUCACCUCCUCCCUUUCUUUCUCCGGUGUCUCCCCUUCCUCCCCACUCACCAUGGUGGGAGAUGCGGCAGGUGGGACCCCUGGGACAGCCCCUGUCCCCCUUCCCCCGCCUGCUCUCCCGAAACUCCCUAGUCUGCACCUCAACUGCUGCUGCCGGACCACCCGCCGCUGCUCCCGCUGGGAUGCCCUCUGCUGCUGCCAUGUCCCUUGCCCCCUCCGAUUCUGGGGGAGCCCCCCCAGCUGGCAGGAAGGGCCAGGGCAAGAAGAAAGGAAAGGGCCCUGCUAGGAAGACUAAGCCAUCCAUGGCAGGGGAUGCCACCGCUGCUGCGGUGCUGCUCCCCACCUGUUCCCUCCACCAGUCCUGCGAGUGCCCCUCCCCUGGCCCCUAGGGCAUACGCCCCAGUGGCCGGCCUGCCUGCCCACCGCUAUGUCAUCUCCUCCGACUGCCGCCUCUGCUACCACCUACAGCGGCCAGAGCCCCUUCCCCACCUUAACCAGGAAGCAUAGCAUCUGUUGCCUCCUGGUGCCUGCCUCGCCCCACGUGGAGACCUACGUGCAGGCAUUGGUGAGGGUGGUGGGGCCGACGGCCAUCAUAGCUGCCUCCAAGAUGUAUGACAAGGUUGUCUUCUUCCUUGCCUCGGAGGCCGCCACCCAGGAGGCCGUGGAGAAGGGCCUGGCAGUGGGGAGCAUGUUCGUCCCCCUGGAGCCGCUGGAGGAUCUGGGUGUCCAUGUGGUCCUGACCUCCAUCCCUCCCUUCCUUCUUAAUGCUGCCCCGUUACCUGCUCUCUCUACCCUAGGGAAGCCCCUUCCUGUUGUGAGCCCUCUCCCGUUGGGCUGCAAAGACCCCGCUCUCUGUCACGUUCUCUCGUUCCGCCGGCAGGUGCAGCUUCAACUGCCACUGGCUGCGCAUGGCGAGGAGGCACUCGAGGGGUCUUUCCUGCUCCCCUAUCAGGAGGCCCAUUACUGGGUACAUUACUCUAUGGAGGAGGCCCAGUUUUACCUCUUCCAGGCGACGAGGCAUGUUCGGAGGGACUGCCCCUUGGCCCAGCAUGGAGGAGUGCCCGGGACCCCUGAGCACUGGCGGGGUGUCUGCCCUGUCAUCGCCGGCACCCCUAGCCCCCGGUGCCCAAAGCCACCCCUCCUCCCUCCUAGCCCAUCACUGCUCCCGCUCGGGCCUCAGGGGUACCUCCUCCAGUGUGUCCAGACGAGCGGGAGAGCCCUGCCUCUGCUGCCUGCACUCUGGCAGGGCCUGUGGAGGAGGGUGCGGCAGGGGUACUGCUGGGCGUGGGAGAGGGCUCUCCCCAAGGGGAAUCUUCCCUCCCUCUUGUUGUUCCAUCAGUACCUCUACAAGUCCUCGAACCGUCAUCCCUGCCCCCCGACAUAACCCCUGUCGACCAGCCCGCAGGCAAUGCCAUGGAGGGCUGGACCCGAGUACAGGGUAAGCGGGGCAAGCGGAAGGCUCGAGCUCCGCUCCUACCACCUAAUGCGGAAGCCUCCCGUAAGACCAGAAAGGGGGCUGCGGACACUGAGCCUUCCACCUUGCCCACAGGGCCGGUCUCUCUGCCAGUGCCGGCUAGGGAAGACGUGGCACCCCGGAUGAGGCCCCUCCUGUUCCCUUGCCACCUGCGUCCCCUGCAACACCUAAGGUGAAGCUACAGCUGGAAGGGAAAACAAACGAGAAGUAUCUAGUCUUUGUAGCCAUACAAUAUAAAACUCAGGUGGUUGCUGGAAUAAACUAC